UGUCUACCUCUUCCCAUUCCGAACAGAGCAGUCAAGCCCGCCAGAGCCGAUGGUACUGCCGUAAAAGGUGGGAGAGUAGGUCGGUGCCGAAC
rnacentral:rRNA from 1 species